rnacentral:tRNA from 1 species
GGUGGUGAGGCUAAAUGGUACAGCACUUGUCUAUCAUGCACAAGGCUCUGGGUUCAGUCCCCAGUAACACCA